GCAGAUCAUUCUAAUAAGCUAUUUAAUUACAGCUAGAGAAGCCUAUUUAGAGCACUCCUGACUGUUAGAAACAAGUCCAUGUGGGGAAAAAUAAGAGAUCCUGAAGUAUCUCUGGUGGCUGAAUGCCUGCAGGCUCUGGAAGCAAACUCUGGAGUAAGGAAAUUCUUACUGCAAUCAUCUGCCCAAACUGUGCCAGAAGGAGCCAGUGCUCGAGGACAGCUGCUGGAGUGCAGUUGGCAUCCCAGGAUGGGAGCUCCUGGUGAGGAACAGGAGCAGGUCAGAUACUGGAGAUACAGUGGGCUGUGA
rnacentral:lncRNA from 1 species